CAGAGGUCUCAAGCGUUGUUCGGAUUCAUUGGGCGUAAAGGGUGCGUAGGUGGCGCUGUAAGUCAGGUGUGAAAUUUCGGAGCUCAACUCCGAAACUGCAUUUGAUACUGCGGUGCUUGAGGACUGGAGAGGAGAUUGGAAUUCACGGUGUAGCAGUGAAAUGCGUAGAUAUCGUGAGGAAGACCAGUGGCGAAGGCGGAUCUCUGGACAGUUCCUGACACUGAGGCACGAAGGCCAGGGGAGCAAACGGGAUUAGAUACCCCGGUAGUCCUGGCAGUAAACGGUGCACGUUUGGUGUGAGAGGAUUCGACCCCUUUCGCGCCGGAGCUAACGCGUUAAACGUGCCGCCUGGGGAGUACGGUCGCAAGAUUA
rnacentral:rRNA from 1 species